rnacentral:rRNA from 1 species
UACGUAGGGUGCAAGCGUUAAUCGGAAUUACUGGGCGUAAAGCGUGCGCAGGCGGUUGUGUAGGACAGAUGUGAAAUCCCCGGGCUUAACCUGGGAACUGCAUUUGUGACUGCACGGCUGGAGUGCGGCAGAGGGGGAUGGAAUUCCGCGUGUAGCAGUGAAAUGCGUAGAUAUGCGGAGGAACACCGAUGGCGAAGGCAAUCCCCUGGGCCUGCACUGACGCUCAUGCACGAAAGCGUGGGGAGCAAACAGG